rnacentral:rRNA from 1 species
GAUGAACGCUGGCGGCGCGCCUAAUACAUGCAAGUCGAGCGAGAAGACGUAGCAAUACGUUUGUAAAGCGGCGAACGGGUGAGGAAUACAUGGGUAACCUACCCUAGAGUGGGGAAUAACUAGCCGAAAGGUUAGCUAAUACCGCGUACGCUCCUUGGACUUCGGUUCAGGGAGGAAAGCGAUGCCGAGGGUAUCGCGCUCUUGGAUGGGCUCAUGUCCUAUCAGCUUGUUGGGAGGUAACGGCUCACCAAGGCUUCGACGGGUAGCUGGUCUGAGAGGACGAUCGGCCACACUGGCACUGCGACACGGGCCAGACUCCUACGGGAGGCAGCAGUAAGGAAUAUUGCGCAAUGGGCGAAAGCCCUGACGCAGCGACGCCGCGUGGGGGAUGAAGGUC